rnacentral:rRNA from 1 species
GUAGGUGGCAAGCGUUGUCCGGAAUUAUUGGGCGUAGAGCGCGCGCAGGUGGUUCUUUAAGUCUGAUGUGAAAGCCCCCGGCUCAACCGGGGAGGGUCAUUGGAAACUGGGGAACUUGAGUGCAGGAGAGGAAAGUGGAAUUCCACGUGUAGCGGUGAAAUGCGUAGAUAUGUGGAGGAACACCAGUGGCGAAGGCGACUUUCUGGCCUGUAACUGACACUGAGGCGCGAAAGCGUGGGGAGCAAACAGGGAUUAGAUACCCUGGUAGUCCACGCCGUAAACGAUGAGUGCUAAGUGUUGGGGGGGGUUUCCGCCCCCUCAGUGCUGCAGCUAACGCAUUAAGCACUCCGCCUGGGAGUACGGUCGCAAGACUG